GACGAACGCUGGCGGCGUGCUUAACACAUGCAAGUCGAACGGAAAGGCCCUGCUUGCAGGGUACUCGAGUGUCGAACGGGUGAGUAACACGCGGGUGAUCUGCCCUGUACUUCGGGAUAUGCCUGGGAAACUGGGUCUAAUACGGGAGAGGAGCCAUCUUGAGUGUUAGGGUUGGAAAGUUUUUUCGGUGUAGGAAGAGCUCGCGGCCUAUCAGCUUGUUGGUUGGGUAAUGGCCUACCAAGGCGGCCUCGGGUAGACGGCCUGAGAGGGGGGACGGCCGCUUGGGGAGUGGGAUACGGCCCAGACACCUACGGGAGGGAGCGGUGGGGAGUUUAUCACAAGGGGGGCAGGCCUGAUGGAGAGCAUCCGCGUGGGGGGUGACGGGCGUCGGGUGGUGUACUCCUUUCUCGGGGGGCAAAGCUUUUUGUUGCGGGACCUAGAUAAGAAGCAACGGCUAACUACGUG
rnacentral:rRNA from 1 species